rnacentral:pre_miRNA from 1 species
UGGAGAGCGCUAGAUCCUGGGCUGUAUCCCCAGCGCCCUGUGCUCCCGGGCCUGAGCUGUUGGAAUCGCGCUCCUGGCCUCGCAGCCCCCU